AGAGUUUGAUCCUGGCUCAAGAUGAACGCUGGCGGCGUGCCUAACACAUGCAAGUCGAGCGAGAAGCUGAUGACAGAUACUUCGGUUGAAGGAGUCAGUGGAAAGCGGCGGACGGGUGAGUAACGCGUAGGCAACCUGCCCUUUGCACAGGGAUAGCCAUUGGAAACGAUGAUUAAAACCUGAUAACACCAUUUGGUUACAUGAGCAGAUGGUCAAAGAUUUAUCGGCAAAGGAUGGGCCUGCGUCUGAUUAGCUAGUUGGUAAGGUAACGGCUUACCAAGGCGACGAUCAGUAGCCGACCUGAGAGGGUGAACGGCCACAUUGGAACUGAGACACGGUCCAAACUCCUACGGGAGGCAGCAGUGGGGAAUAUUGCACAAUGGGCGAAAGCCUGAUGCAGCAACGCCGCGUGAAGGAAGAAGGCCUUCGGGUCGUAAACUUCUGUCCUUGGGGAAGAAGAACUGACGGUACCCAAGGAGGAAGCCCCGGCUAACUACGUGCCAGCAGCCGCGGUAAUACGUAGGGGGCAAGCGUUAUCCGGAAUUAUCGGGCGUAAAGAGUACGUAGGUGGCAACCUAAGCGCAGGGUUUAAGGCAAUGGCUCAACCAUUGUUCGCCCUGCGAACUGGGAUGCUUGAGUGCAGGAGAGGAAAGCGGAAUUCCUAGUGUAGCGGUGAAAUGCGUAGAUAUUAGGAGGAACACCAGUGGCGAAGGCGGCUUUCUGGACUGUAACUGACACUGAGGUACGAAAGCGUGGGGAGCAAACAGGAUUAGAUACCCUGGUAGUCCACGCCGUAAACGAUGAGCA
rnacentral:rRNA from 1 species